rnacentral:rRNA from 1 species
AAGUCGAACGGUAACAGGAAGAAGCUUGCUUCUUUGCUGACGAGUGGCGGACGGGUGAGUAAUGUCUGGGAAACUGCCUGAUGGAGGGGGAUAACUACUGGAAACGGUAGCUAAUACCGCAUAACGUCGCAAGACCAAAGAGGGGGACCUUCGGGCCUCUUGCCAUCGGAUGUGCCCAGAUGGGAUUAGCUAGUAGGUGGGGUAACGGCUCACCUAGGCGACGAUCCCUAGCUGGUCUGAGAGGAUGACCAGCCACACUGGAACUGAGACACGGUCCAGACUCCUACGGGAGGCAGCAGUGGGGAAUAUUGCACAAUGGGCGCAAGCCUGAUGCAGCCAUGCCGCGUGUAUGAAGAAGGCCUUCGGGUUGUAAAGUACUUUCAGCGGGGAGGAA